rnacentral:lncRNA from 1 species
UGAGGCAGCACUUUCAGCAUCACAGGCAGAAUGUGAUUGCUUGAAGCAGGAGAUCAAAGAAGUAAAGAUCUUAUUGGAGGAGUCACAGAUGAAACAGGCUGCUGCAAACAAUUUGAAAUUUCAGACUAAAAAUAAUGGCAAUGUUCAAAAGGAGUUGGAAGAGGAGAUAAGGUUUCAGAGAGAGGAGAAUGCUAAUUUGGCCUUACAGUUGAAGAAAACCCAAGAAUCAAAUAUUGAGCUUGUUUCCAUUCUUCAAGAACUGGAAGAAACUAUAGAAAAGCAGAAAGUGGAAAUUGAUAACCUUUCAGCUGCUAAACAGACCAGAAAGUCU